GCUAGUUGCAAGGCGGGGCUUGCCUGGGGAGCCAAAGGGCAAGGAGCUGGCCGGAGCCUCGCCUGGCGUCACUCUCUCUCUCUCUCUCUCUCUGCCUGGCCAAGAGCCUGGAGGAGGAGGAGGCUUGCUUCCCUCCCUCCCUGCCUCCUCCAUUGUAUAAUGCUUCGUGACCGCAGCAGCCAGAGGAGAGAGGAGGCUUAAAUCCUCCGAUUCCUCCUCCUUCCAGAGCUGCAUUCCCCCCUCCUCCUCCUCCUCCUCUUCCUCCUCCAUCGGAGGAGAGCGCCAUAUGGAGCUGGGGGGAGAUUAGGGAGCACCAGCCACCCACCCAAUGCUUUAGUUCUCCGGGGGAAACUGCAUGGGAAGACUUUGACCACUGACCAAGCGUUGGCAGGGGAAGAGACAGACAUGUCUGCUUCACAGCUCUGUUUCAUACCAUCCUGUGUCCGCCCUGCAAAGGUCCUUUACAAAAGUUGAGACUCUCUUCCUCUCUGCCAGCACUUGCAAGGCAGAAUAUCAGGAUCAGCCAGCUGGUUGCUUUGCAGAAAUCCAACUGAAUACUACCCAUUCACAUGAGAGGGAAGUCCUUUCGGGUUUCUUUCAAGCUUUUGUAAAUGUUUGCAGGGAAGAUCUGGUCCCAGCUUCGGUCCCGAUGGCGUGGGUUCUGAUUAUUUUAUUACUUCUGGUUUCCUUUGUCCAAAGUGACAAGGAACCGGUUUUCAAGGUCUGCAGACAUACUCAUGCAUGCACCUUUGCAUCCAGGUCUUGCUCUCUGUCCUAAGAAAAGGAGGAAGAGUAAGCCACUGGCCUCAGCUCACCAACACCCCCCCUCCAAGCUGGAAAACAGGGAACAUUCAAGGUGUGAAUUUGGCAGGUCUGCCUUGGCUUUUUCUCAGGUUAUGUCCAGUUUUUUAUAAGCUAAUGAUGGUUCUGUAGCACUGUGUCCACUAUCACAGGAGUGGACUUCUGCUUGAGCAACAGGAUUUCCCCUUCACCUCAACCUCUGUCUCCUCCAGAGGACCCCCCCCCCAGUAGUCCAGGAAGUUUUCUGGAGGCUUGGGGAUAGCAAAUCUGUUCCACAAGUUGGCAGACAACAUUGGGAACGAUCUAAACUCAGUAACUAAACAAAUAAUAAUUACUUUUUAAAGAAAAAAGCUUCUUCUUUUUCAAACUACAUAGUGGUUCCUUAGAAACCAAGAUCAUGAUGAAGCAAUGUAGUCAAGAUUUUUUCCAGGUAAAUCCUUGAAUGAAAUUUCCUGGAGAUUCGUAAUAAUAGUUUUCUUCCUUUUGUAGUUGAUAAACAACCUGAAUUCCUAAAAAAACCACAAAAAACAAUUUUAUGCUUAAGAGCUAGUAUCCUUGGUGUGUAUUAAAGAUGGAAGAAGGCUUAGCAGUUUGUGGUGCCAGACAGGUACUGGAGUCUGUAUCCUAGGGAACACUUCCAUUGUCCAGACAAGUAUUGUAACAUCUAGCAUAACAGCUACAAGGAGUUUCUUCCUUUUCGUGUCUGAUCUGCCUUCGUUUAACGCUGUAACAUGUCUUCAGGAGGAAAGACGUGUGUAAAAAUUUUGCACUACUUGUGUGUGUGUUUUAAUAAUAAUAAUAAUCUGUGUCUACUCAUGUUUAAUGGAGCUUGUCCUCCUCUGAAGUUAUUUAAAUAGAUGUGAAAACUUGUUGUUGUUUUAAUGUAAUGGUGUUUAGAUAAGAUUUUUAGGAUAAACCAGAUUGAAAGACUAACAAACUGAUGUCCUUUAGCUGCUGUCUGAUUAAGAUUGACUUAGAAGCAAGUCCCACUGAAAUCAGUAAAAAUUACAUCUGAGCCAUUCAUAGGGAUUAGAUCGCACAAGUAAAAGUGUUUCUGUGUUUCUUAAAGCGGCUUCCCCCAAAUUUAGAGAAAUAACAUGCAGCGAUAGAUGCUACAUGUAAACCAUGCCGAAGCUACACUUAGUAAAACAAUCUCCACCUCUCUCUUUUUAAGGAUAACAGUUGUUAAGUUUAUUUAUCGGAACACAAAACCCCCAAACUCAGAACUAUUGGUACGAAAAAGUUUGAAAUUUCACAUCCGGCUCAUCUUACGUAAUAGCCAGCCAAACUACUGUACUGACAACUGGUGCACUUUCUUCACCCUCCGUAUGAAUCAUUGGUAUGAAAGGGAGCACAGAACUUGUUUAGAUUUUGUACAUUUCUGAAGUAGCUGGGCCGACAUGCAGCAGGUGUUGUUUAGUAGUUGAGUUGCUUUUGUGUGUGUGUAUACAUGAGAAUGCAGUGCAUCAGAAGUGUGAUUACGGUAUAUUAUUUUUAAAGUGUAGACAGGCUUCCUAUGACCCACUUGCAAGGGCUCUUCAGUGCCUCCUUUGGAAGUACAGUUUCUGUCUAAAAAGAUAACAUAAAUGGAGACGGCUCCAGUUGCAACAGCUUCUUGGCCAAAAAGAGGAAAGGGGGAGGGGCAGAGGAGAGAGAGAGAGAGAGAAAAGAAAAGAAAUUGUGCCAGAAACAGCAGGCUCUGAUUACAGAGUCCAAAGAUCAUUUAAUGCACCAAAGGGGAAAAAAGGAGGAAGAGUGCAAGGUCCAGUUUAAGCAGCUGUAGGUUAGCAAUAGUUCCAGGGGCAGAAGCUCAGCUGAUUCUCCUGCUAUAAUCAGACCCCCUCCCAAUUUUGAUGCUAGCUUUGAGGGAAUGCUUGAAUUUGACUUUUCUGUGGAAGCGGGGAAGGAAAGAAAGGAUAGGUGAGUGGAAUGACCAUAUGUUGUGAGGUUGUAUCAUGCAGAAUCUCUAAAUGCCAGUGGAAGGGAGUUAGCACAUACUGAGCAUAGCACAUUGUGGCUUUGUGAGAUGCUGCCUAAACAACUGGCCCAUCAAAGCUCUUCCAUGUAAAAUUCACCUCCAAAGGAACCUAACAAUGAAAUGUGGUCUUUAUGAUGUCUUUGGAGGUUUCAAGUCCUGAUCUUGGACACGGGGCAGUUUGGUACAGUGUGUGUCUACGCCGGAAGCUGGAUUCAGUAAGGCUUAUUUUCAAGAAAUUCGGAAUACACUCUCAGACUAACCAGCUGAAGUCAUUUGCAGUUAAAUUGUCCCACAGCACACUUUUCCAAACACCUGCUGCUGUAGCAUGGCUUAUGGACAGGUAAUAAGGCUCCUUGAGCUCUUUGGAGAAUAGUUGGAUAGACUGUAAGAAAUAAAUAUGUACCACUUAAGAAAGUGUUUCCCAGACUUUCUCCAGAUGUUUUGGACUUCGGCUCCCAGAAUUUCUGAUCAUUGCCCAAACUGGCUAGGGCUUCUGCAAACUGAAGUCCAAAACACUUAGAGGACCAAAGUUUGGGAAACACUGACUUAAGAGGUUUAAAAGCAUAUGAAUGGUGAUUUUCCUGCCUAUGGUGUUUGUACAUAUUUCUUUGUCCCACUGUUGUCUCUGAUCAAACAGGCUUUACAGCGUUUUUUUAAGCAGUACCAAAAACCUGUUUACCUGAGAUCACAUUGGAAUGAGACCACAGACAGGAUCCCUCGUUCACCUUCUUAAACAGUUGGAUCAUCUGCUUCCACCCUCAUAGACUCCCGCUUCAGUAGAUGUGUUCUCCUCUCCCUUGCAGAGCUCUUUUAAGAACCUGGAGUGGUUUGGCUGUGUCUUAUUUUGCCGUGUUCUGUUACUGGAGCAGGUGGACUGGGGUCCCUUUCACACUAUAGUUGCCCCUCCGUUUUUGUAGACUUCAGAUCUGUGACCCUUGCUUACUCAUGAGGAGCAAACGGAGGGGGUUAAAAUUGGGUGUGCGCCCGCAACUGCUCAUGGGCACGCACCCCCAUUCAAGCCUAUGGGGCUUGAAUAUCUGCAGAAUGGAUUCCUUGUGAAAACAGAAGGCUGAUUGUACAGUUAUAGUGCUAUGAUUCCAUUUUAACUGCUCUGGUUCUGUCCUGUAGAAUUCUGGGAUUUCCAGUAUAGGGGUAUUUAGAACCCUCUCUUCUGAGAGCGCCUCUGACCAAACUGCAAAGACCAGGAUUCUGUAGGGAAAGCCCUAGCAGUUAAAGUGGAAUUGUAGCACUAUAAUUGUGUAGUGUGAAAGGUCCUAGGAUUUUACAAUGGCAUAGGAUUCCAAAGGAACGGAUAACCUGUGAGUGUUAGCAACUGUACCCAGACAUCACAUUGGGUAAAGCUGAAUUAAAUGACAAACACUUGAAACAAACGUGGAUGGAAAAUCAGCAUUGUUUAAGCACAGUACAGAGUUUCAUUUGAGGGUUUGCGGGGGAGGGAGCAAAAUAUAUAUUACAAGAUGGAUUUCUUGGUUCUCUUAAUGUCAGUAUAAAUCUGGAAUGUCUUCACUCAGGUUUAUGGGGCAGGUGUCUUUCUGAAAAUUCAUGGUUGAUUGAAUCAUGUGCCUGAAGAUCAGGAUAGCUGUUUGGUGAGUUCUGCUAUUGUUGCUGACCAUGUGACAGAGUAGUCAUCUGUUACACAGCCAGAUCCAUUUUCAGCCCAUAAUGAUGUCAGACUUUCUUUUUCCCCCAGUCUGUGAAGAUAUACACACACACACACACACACACACACACACACACACAUAUACAUACACUUAUAUACUGACUAGUUGACAAACCAUUGCCCAUCAUAUUGUACAAGGCCACCUGACCAGGGCUGAUUUUAAAUCACAUGAUCCAGUCCUUAUUGGGUCACACUGACGGCACAAAAAAGAGCAAUGUUAAUCUGGUGGUGGAAAAUUCUGUUGAAAUUCAGAAUGUCCCUAAAUGCCAGAAGGGGACUUUCCUGGGAGAAGAUAGUGCUAGCAAGGCCUGUGCUACAACUGCAUUGAGGAGGAGGUCCAGCGUGAUUCUGCUGAGUACUGAAUUUCAUAUAGCAAAUAGUUAAGGCCAAACGCUCUUUACUUUUUCUACUCUUACACUUGAAAUCUGGGCUGAUCAAUUUAGGUAUGCACUGUUGCAGACAGUGUUGGUUAUACAAUCCUACAUAUCUGUCUGGUUGGUAAUAGGCCAAGUCUUUAUGAAUAUGACAUAUGAAUAGAACUAGAAGAGAGGUUACUACUGUCCAGGUUUCUGGGUGGCUAAACAAUCAAACCCUUAGCAGCGGCAAACAUAGCUUCUAAGUAUGGUUUAUGCAAGUUGAGUAUCCUUUACCUGGAAUUCCAAAAUCUGAAGUACUCUGAAAUCAAAAACCUUUUGAGCUACAAUGUAAGUAGUGUAGUAUGUUCCUGUACUGUAUUUAUGAGGCUGAAGAGAGACACAAGGAUCUGUGAAAUGAUGGGAGUGCAUACCUACAUUGAUCAGCAUUAUGUCCUGUUAUGUUUAUGCAAAUGCAGGUAUUCAAAAAUAAAUAAAUAUCAAAAUAUGGAACACUUCUGGUACCAAACAUUUCAAAUAAGGGGUACUCAGACUUUAUGUUCCUUUGCCUGGCAGGUAACUUGUAGUGCCAUCUGUAGGAAGCUAUUUAUAUUCUGUGUUUGUAUGAAGUAAAGGAAUUGUCCCAUUACCUUAAUUUCAUUUUAAAUGAGGCUGAUUAUGUGGGAAAUAACAUGUCAGAAGGAUCCUGUACAUGUAGCCAUUCCUGUGAAAUUUACUUAAUUGACAGCACAACCCUAUAUAUGUUUUUUCUCACAUUUAUGACUUGUUUUCAAUGGGAUUGAUUCCCGGAUUGCAUCCUUAGAGUGACAUUUCAAAUUCCUAAAAUUUGGAGAAAAGUUUCAAUUACAAAUCAUACACACUUUUUAGCCUGUUUGGAGAACAUUUGGUAAUAUGAGAUAAUGUUUCCGAGUUCAGGAGCUAUUCUUAUGAAGGGAGUUGUACUAGAAAUUGUUGUUCUAAACAAAAUUAAUAAAGAAAAAAAUGGCGCUUCUAUUAUUUGAGUUUUUAUUUUUAAAAACCUAACUGGAUUGUACCACUUGGGGGUUUCUUUUAUUGGUGUUGACCCCUCUGCUAGACGAUCACAGUGGCAGCUACACAGCUUUUCUUCCCUGAUUUUCUCUCUGUUACAGGACAGAGCUGUGUAUGCCAUACCAACUGUCUCAGGCCCCUCAAGUUAGGCUUUUCCUCUGGAGGACAUUGCCCCAUCCCAAGUGCUGUAAGAUUCAGCUGCUGGUCCAGAGAGUGUCAAUACAUGCAGUGGUAAGGGGCUGCUAUUUUAUGCUUUGCCUGAGGCAGCGACUGUCUUGUUCUGGCCCAUUUCCAUUAAUUUUGACAAGCAAUCUGAGCUGAACAAAAUUUGUUAGGUGGGAUGUUUGCAUAAGUGCCAGGUAGUCUGAUGAAACAGUCCAGUAAGUGUAGGACAGCAACAGGAUCAUCAGCAGGUGGCAGCAGCAGUGGUGGCAAAUCAUGAAAUACGUUCUGUCCCCUUCUUUAAGACUCUAUAAAUGAGCAGUAAUAUAAGAACACCCAUGACGGCAGGUAAAUUAUGUGGAUUUGUUGAGGUGAAAUGGGGAGGGGGAUUCUAAAAGAGGGCCUACUUUAAGGAGACCGUACAACUAGUCAUUCAGCAGGUCUGACUAGUUUUGAAAUGCCUGAGGACAGGUUUAUCUCAGUAAAGUCAUGUAGCUCUGAAACAAAGUUUUCAAAUCCACUUUUGUUAGUAUGCUACCACUUGUUGUGCCUUCAAGUCGUUUCCAACUUAAGGCAGUCCUAAGGUUUUCUUGGCAAGUUUCUUCAGAGGGAGUUUGCCAUUGUCAAUCUCUGAGGCUGCGAGAGUGUGACUUGCCCAAGGGUCACCCAGUGGGCUUAUAUGACCAAACUGGGAUUUGAACCCUGGUCUCCAAAAUCAUAGUCCAGCAAACAAACUACUACCUCACAGUGGCUCACCAUAGUACCACUGAAAAAGGUGUAGGAAGUUUAGGGGAGUAAUCAAGGAGAAUUUUCUGUCUCUCUUUUUAAAAAGCCACACAAAAUAGCAUUUUCCAUUAUAAUUUUUAUUUUUCUAAUGUUUGGUUGGUUUAUUGCUUUAAGUAGUGGGCAUCUUCUUAAUUUCUGCCAAAAGAAGCAUACACAGUUGAAUGUACAGUCUGACCCUGAUUAUUAGGUAGGAGUUGCAAGAGCCUGAAAACAUACAUUCUGUCUUUAAUGUCUUCUUUAGCAGUUUUAAGCAUGAAACUAUUAGGAGGGUACUGUCCCUUUGUAUUUCAGAAAAGUAAUCUACAGCACUGUGUAGUGGUCAGAGUUUCUAGGUUCACUCACCUCAAAGGGCAACCUGCUGGAAGAGGAGGAAUCUGUGGAUAAAUAGCCAUGGCCUGGCUAUUUGGAAAGCUGGUAGCUUGUGGGUUUCCUUCUCCAGACCCAAGUUCUUGAACCAGGAUAUACGCUUGGUUUUAUUUUUAUUUAAUUUUUUCAGCUAUAAAUUCAAGUAGCUGCCUCUCAUUCUCGAUGUGAAUUUAAUAUAUAUGAGAUAUACCCUUGUGAUACUGUUUUCUAGUUUCUUUUACCUUCUCCCCUCUACUAUGCCUUAAAAUGAAGAGUUGAUUCACAUAGCUGGAAAAAAUAAAAGGGCAGAGAAAAUAGGAGGGGGAAAAGUGAGUCACUUACGUUGCUGCGUUCUGACAUAGACUCUUAUGAUAGAAUUUGUAUGUCUCUUAGCAGAGAAAUAUACGAUAGAAACUUUUGUUCUCCUUAUGACCAUUUAGGAAAGUUGCUAUUCCAGCUUUCAUUCCCAUCAUCCUCUUCAUCACCCCUAAACAACAGAGUGAUUUCUUUUCAGCUACUGCUUUUACUGUUUAACUGAACAGACAGUCAGGAUGGAGAAAAGAACUUCUGUCAAGCAAGUUUUCAGCGCUGAGGUCAAUAUGAAGAGUGUUUCAAACAAGUUACGCAGUGGAAUAGCUGGAUUGUACAAUACAUGAUAUUCUGGAUUAAACAAUAAGAAUGUAUAGGACUUUUUCUCUUCUUUCCCUAUACUUCCAUGAUUUUCUCUUUGCCCCCUUCCUCUCUUUCCACCCACCCUUCCUUCAAUCCCCUGCAUAUCUUUCCAUUGCUUAUUCUAUUUCUGUUAGCUUUUCCUUCUCCUGGGCCUCUCUCCUUGGUUCUCCAGCCAAUUUUUAGCUGAGCUGCUCUUAGCAAUGGAGCUUGCAGUUCUGCUGGCUUGCCCCUAGAACAAUCCUAAGCAAGCAGCAUGGGAAAUGUCCAUGACUAGUGGCCUCUUAGUGAAGCGAGAGCUCACGUGUGCUAGAACUAAAAUCCCAUAUUAGCUAUAGACACAGGAAGGAGAUGUUGUCUAGAUAAGCAGGUAAAGAAAUGGCCCAGAAAGUGGGAGAAGUAACAGGAAGGGAGCCAAGGGGUACAAAGGAAAGGGGCAGGUUAACUCUGGACUGAGUUGUAAAAAUGAGAUCAAACAUUUCUGCUGUAAAUUUUUGAGAGGCGGGAAAUACAAAUAAAUCAUUAUAUUAUUAUUAUUAUUAUUAUUAUUAUUAUUAUUAUUAUUAUUAUUGGGAUGAGACGUGGAGUAUAGCAGGGGUAGGCACAUGUGGCCUUGCAAGCUUCCCAGGGAUUAAAAAAAAGGAAAACAAAUUGCAAUUAUUCGUUGCUCCAGAAUGCCCCCAGAUGCACUCUAGGCAGUGUGGAGGUACACCUGAUGUUACAUGUUUUGUAUGUUUGCCAUAUUUUGGUACUGGCCAUGUGCCGUAUUAAAUUCAUUCAUUCGGAGGGCAAUUCCAUCAUGCUUGGAGGCCCUCCGAGCCCCUUGGAUCAAAAACAAUUUUUGAAUUAAAAACCAACAACACCGUUUUUGCCCCCAAAUGUUCUAAAAUGUGUACUGGGCGCAUGAAGCGCAUUUCUAGCAAUUUUUCAGCCUCACGGCAAAUUUACACUCAGAAUAGAGGCCUUUUUUGAAACCACAAACUUGAUGAAAAUGCCCUCAAACCUCCCCAGAGGCAUUGGAGAGAAAAAACUAUAUUGUAAUAUAUUUUGGGUUGGGGAGAAGGUGUGUUCCCCCCCCCCCCAAGGUUUCCUAAGGGGCUCGUGCCAGGCCCCUAGCUUUCCAGAGUUGCCUACUCCUGGAGUAUAUGAAUGAAAGGGUUUGAGGAAACAAUAGUCUGAAAGGAUAAAAAGUAGAAUGGCCAGCAGUAAGUUUGCAUGUAGAAAAGUAUUCUGCUGAAGUUAUACAUUAUGGGCAGGAAGGGAUGAGCAAAGGGAUGAGCAAUGAAAUAUGCAGGCUGAGUGCCAAUGGGAAAAAGGAAAAAGAACCAGUUAGGCUGUAAGAAGGGAAAAAAGAGGUGGGGGGAUCUUUUUCCAGAGGAAUACCUGGAUUUAGUCAGUUGCCACAAAAAAGCCAAGUGUCUUCCUGGUGCCAUAGGCCUUAAGAGGUCCAUUGUGGCUUAAGCUUCCAGGGGCCAAGGUCCACUUCAUGGUAAUGAAGAAGUGGAGUUGGUGAAAAAAAUCAGAGAAGGGAGCAGGACAGUCUUCGUGCAAGACUAAGAUUGCAACAGUGGGUUUUAAAGUUUCAAACGGUACUUCCUCUUUUUUGGCAUUUAAAGGCCCUUGGAACACUACUGCUACAAAAAUUAAAAAUGGCAAUCCUAUGUGCAGUUUACGAACACAGGCCCAUAAACUGUGGGCAAGGAUGGAGAACUGCCAAAGCUUCCUGCAGAGAGAGGAGGCCAAAGCAAGGGCUAGACCUGAGUAUUCCAGCCAGGCUGCUGCGUGGGGUGCAAGAGAUCAGCCUGAUUCACAAUGGCACCAGAGUCUGUCCUGCCUGCACUUUGGCAUCUGUGGUACUCUCAGGGUGAUCCUGGGGCCAGGAAGAAGAAGCCCAGGCCAGUCUGCAUCCACCACCACCCUCCCCUUGAAUGAGCUGGAUUCACAACAGGUUCACAUAUGAAACUAGAUGGUGGUUUGCAGGAGGUAGUGGAGCCAAGGUUAACAGACAUUUCAUUUGGCGAAAGUUAUGCUGGGAGAGAGCUUAUUUGGGUAGCACUAUGCAUUAUAUUGGCAAACAUUUGCUCCCAGAAUCAUGUUUGCCCAAAUAAUGUUCCUGUGGGAGCUGUUCAUAGGGAGAAACCAGGAUGAAGACAUUUAUUCUUUCUCAUGGUCACUUGUUUUUCCCUUCAGAUGCCCCCAGGAAGUUCCCCAAAUGCCCUAGUCUCAGACUGUGGAUAGUGAAAAUUGAGUUUAAACUGUUUGGAGGAGCUAUUUGCAGGCCUAUAAAGUGGGGGCAGGGAGGUAAGCAGCCAUGGGUCGGUCAGUUUUCCAGCCUUGUCUAUCCAAUUCUCCUGCUGGAGAGAUAUCUUUAACUUGCAACAUGCAGGUCCAUGGUCAGACAAGUCAAUAAUUCCACCAUCCCCAGUCUGGUACCCUCAGCCCCAGCCCCAGCCGAGUUGCAAUCCAACAUAUCUGGCAGUUGCUUUGUCUACAGGAUCAUUGUUGGGCCCCAGCUGGGGAAGGCUGGACUGGAGUUUGUAAUGUAAAUACCUGCUUUUUUAAAAAAUUAAAGGUAACAGUAUGGAGUAUGUCUGCUGUUUAUAUAAUUGUUGUGUGCCUUCACAUAUUUUCUGACUUAUGGUGACCCUAGGGUGAAGCUAUCGUGGAGUUUUCUAAGGGCUGAGAGUUUAUGACUCACCCAAGAUCACCCAGCAGCCAAGUCAGGAAUCAAACUCUGGUCUCCAGGGUUUUGGUCCAAAGCUCAAUCUGCUAUACUAUGGGUUGGUUCAAUAUACUUACCUAUUGUGCUGUUUAACCGUCUGAUCAUAAAGGUUCAUAACACAGAUAAUGUCAAAUUUCUCUUGGUUUUCUUUCUAAUAGCUAGUACUGCGUUUAGAUGAGGGAUAGGGCACAUCUUAAGUAAGUGAAUAUGUUUUACCCUCUCCAAGGAGGCAAUCACCUGCUGAGAACCAGCUCAACC